GAUGAACGUUGGCGGCGUGCCUAAUACAUGCAAGUCGAACGAAGACUGUAGUAAUACUGUCUUAGUGGCGAACGGGUGAGUAACGCGUGGGUGACCUGCCCCGAAGUGUGGGAUAACAGUCCGAAAGGAUUGCUAAUACUGCAUAAUAUCCAAGAGAUUAGAUGCUUUUGGAUUAAAGGAGUAAUUCGCUUCGGGAGGGGCCCGCGUCCCAUCAGCUAGUUGGUAAGGUAAUGGCUUACCAAGGCGAUGACGGGUAGGGGACCUGAGAGGGUGGCCCCCCACAAUGGAACUGAAACACGGUCCAUACACCUACGGGUGGCAGCAGUAGGGAAUAUUAGUAAUGGGCGAAAGCCUGACGCAGCAACGCCGCGUGACUGAUUAAGCUCUGAGGAGUGUAAAAGUCUGUCGUAGAGGAAGAAACUAUCCGAUAAGAAUAUUGUCGGAUACUGACGGUACUCUAUGAGAAAGCUCCGGCUAACUCCGUGCCAGCAGCCGCGGAAACUACUCGUA
rnacentral:rRNA from 1 species